UUAGGAAUAUUGGACAAUGGGGGAAACCCUGAUCCAGCCAUGCCGCGUGUGUGACGAAGGCCUUAGGGUUGUAAAGCACUUUCGUCUGUGAAGAUAAUGACAGUAGCAGAAGAAGAAGCUCCGGCUAAAUUCGUGCCAGCAGCCGCGGUAAUACGAAUGGAGCGAGCGUUGUUCGGAAUCACUGGGCGUAAAGGGUGCGCAGGCGGUCAUGAAAGUUAGAAGUGAAGUCCCAGGGCUUAACCCUGGAAUGGCUUUUAAAACUCCAUGACUAGAGUACUGGAGGGGUUAGCGGAAUUCCGAGUGUAGAGGUGAAAUUCGCAGACAUUCGGAGGAACACCAAUGGCGAAGGCAGCUAGCUGGACAGUAACUGACGCUCAUGCACGAAAGCGUGGGGAUCAAACAGGAUU
rnacentral:rRNA from 1 species